UACGACUACAUAUCAGGCAUAUCAAUAAGCGGAGGAAAAGAAACUAACAAGGAUUCCCCUAGUAACGGCGAGUGAAGCGGGAAGAGCUCAAAUUUGAAAUCUUCAAGGUUCUACCUUGACGAACUGUAGUUUAAAGAAGUGUUUUCUGUUGGAGUUUUGGUAAAAGUUCUUUGGAAUAGGACAUCAUAGAGGGUGAGAAUCCCGUAUUUGACCAUUAUUUUCAGCUUUGUGAUACACUUUCAAAGAGUCGGAUUGUUUGGGAAUGCAGUCCAAAAUGGGUGGUAAAUUUCAUCCUAAAGCUAAAUAUUGGCGAGAGACCGAUAGCGAACAAGUACCGUGAGGGAAAGAUGAAAAGAACUUUGAAAAGAGAGUUAAACAGUACGUGAAAUUGUCAAAAGGGAAGCGUUUGACACCAGUGUUGUUUAGUUGAAAAUCAAUUCAAUAGUUUUUGAUUCUAAGUAGUAUUGACUUCAUCAGCUUGCUGCUUUCUUCUCAGAAAUUAUUGAAUGCACUUUUCAGUUAACAAGUCAACAUCAAUUUCGUUUGUUGUAAAAGGGUAAGAGGAAGGUGGCUAGCGCUUCGGCUCAAGUGUUUAUAGCCUUUUAUCUCUGCAAUCGGAGAGAUUGAGGUCUGCAGCGUAGAUCCUUCGGGGUUAGAUACAUUGGUGCUAAGCUAUAGCCUUGUAUAGACAACUUGUUGACUAUGCUCAGUCAUGUAGCUUACUCGCUGAUGCUAUUUUACCUACGCUUAGGAUGUUGAGCGCAUGUCUCUCUCU
rnacentral:rRNA from 1 species